rnacentral:rRNA from 1 species
UACGUAGGGGGCAAGCGUUGUCCGGAAUCAUUGGGCGUAAAGAGCGUGUAGGCGGUCCGUUAAGUCGGCUGUGAAAGUCCAAGGCUCAACCUUGGGAUGCCGGUCGAUACUGCCGGACUAGAGUUCGGAAGAGGCGAGUGGAAUUCCUGGUGUAGCGGUGAAAUGCGCAGAUAUCAGGAGGAACACCGGUGGCGAAGGCGGGUCUCUGGGCCGAUACUGACGCUGAGGAGCGAAAGCGUGGGGAGCGAACAGG